UCCUGCAUCAGAUUUAUCGGUCGCAUAGGUCAUUUUCUUCUUCAUCCCUUCUCCGUUCCAGUGGUUGUGCGUGGGUAGUUCUCACAGAUAGGUAAUUUCUUCUUCUUCCCUCGUCGUUCUCGCAGAUAGCCGACAAGGGACACGUACGGCUCUUGAUUUCUGGUUGUUGUGCGUGGCGGCUCCGUUCCUUUUUGCUAGGGCUUGAAAAGUUAAAGCAUUGGGAUUAUCUUCUGCGGCAGCCUAAGCAGUACAUGAAUAGUUGGAUUUUAGCUUGCACAAAAUUGAUUGAGUGAAAGAACCUUGAAUUUCAUUCGUAAUAUGGCCACAGAAACAUCUGUUGGUAAAUCUACUAUACUUUCGUUUCUUUUUAUCUGUGGUUUAAGGUUUAUAGAUUAAAAAUACAAUUAGUUAUUAGACUUCCUUUUAAAUUAUUUAGUAUUUGUGUCUUCCUUUUUAGAGGUUGCCAAGUAAGCACCGAUCAUCACUACUCUAUUUAUGGAAUUUGUUAGUUUGAGACGUGCUGUUGAGAGGGGGGCACAGGUAAUAUUUUUUUUUUUUUAAAUUUUGCGUAGCAUAUGAUUGUGGGAUUCACAUGCAUAUUUAUUGGAAAGAAUGCAGAGAAGAAGCUUAGCCAUAAUUGAUAGAAAGUGUACUAAAAGAUUAUGCAAGCAAAAGAGUCAUAUGUUCUAAUUGUGUUGAGUUUUCAUGAAUAUGUUUUUAAAUUGCUUUUUAUGACUUGAAAUUGAGCUAUAAGAAUGUUGAGUCAUCUGAUGCAGAGCUCUGAAAUAAAGGUGAUAUGCAUAUUUGGAUCAUUGGAAUUUUGUCUUUUAGUAUUGGAAUUUUGAGGAGACUUGUGAAUCUUAUGCUUCUGCAAGCUAAUUUUUUAUUUGGCUUAGGAAUUAGUUGAAGUUGUAUGUAAAUAUUGGGCUAGAACUCAUGCCAUUAAAUUGAGCUGGAAACAAAACUUGGUCUUAUGGUUUUAUCUUAAAAUCAUACUUUUUGAAGAUUUUGUGUAUACUUGUGUUGAUUUACUUUGGAAAUCAAACUUCUGAGACAUAGUGGAAUCAUAUAGAAAAUCAUUCGUGAAGACCUUGGAAAUGUUAGUUACUCUGCUAUUGGAGCGCUUUCAAACGAGAUUCAGGAGCUUAGGGAAUCAAUAGAAAUGCCUUUAAUGAAUCCUUGGCUAUUUCUAGUGGCUGGCAUCAAACCACCCAAGUGAUGGUGAUGCUGGAUGAAUAGCAUAGUACACGGUUAAAGAAUAAGAAUUGAUUUUUAUGUAGGGUGUUCUUCUUUAUGGACCUCUUGGAAUUGGAAAGACAUUAAUAACUAGAGCAAUAGCAAGCAAUAUAGAUGCUAACCUUUUGAAGUUUUUGACUUUGUUCUCUUUGCUGUGUAUGUACAAAAUGCUUUAUAUGUGGCCUUCUAAUAAAACUUGUACUGUCAAUUGAAAAUUUAUUGCCACUGUCAUUGGAUAUGCACACAAUUAUCAGAUAAAAACUCUCAUCGAAUUAAACAUGCUUCAUUAGAUGCCUCUAUUAAAUUGACUUUAAAUUAUACGAUCUUUUUUGUUUAGCCUUGCAUCAUUUUUAUGGAUGAGAUUGAUAUCACUUGUGGACGCUGAUUCAGUGAGGGAACAGGUGCCUUGGAACUAGUAAGCUCUAAAGAACAAGCCCUUGGGUGUCUUGGAGACUUUGAUGAUGCUGUUGGUUUUCUCAUCCAUAAAUGCUGUGAUAUUAGAAAAGUUCUUAUGGCAAAGUCUAUUUGCAAUUCACAAUGCUACGGUCAUUUUUUACGGUCUUUAUUGUCUUUUGUAUAUAAUUUUAAUUUAUCAAAUUAACAUGUCCAAAAAUGUUCAGAUUUUUCUUUAUCAUUAAUGCUCCAUGUAUAUGGGUGUUGUAUUAUU